CCAAUAGCGUAUAUUAAAGUUGUUGUGGUUAAAAAGCUCGUAGUUGAACCUUGGGCCUGGCUGGCCGGUCCGCCUCACCGCGUGUACUGGUCCGGCCGGGCCUUUCCCUCUGUGGAACCUCAUGCCCUUCACUGGGUGUGACGGGGAAGCAGGACUUUUACUGUGAAAAAAUUAGAGUGCUCCAAGCAGGCCUAUGCUCGAAUACAUUAGCAUGGAAUAAUAAAAUAGGACGUGCGGUUCUAUUUUGUUGGUUUCUAGGACCGCCGUAAUGAUUAAUAGGGACAGUCGGGGGCAUCAGUAUUCAAUUGUCAGAGGUGAAAUUCUUGGAUUUAUUGAAGACUAACUACUGCGAAAGCAUUUGCCAAGGAUGUUUUCAUUAAUCAGGAACGAAAGUUAGGGGAUCGAAGACGAUCAGAUACCGUCGUAGUCUUAACCAUAAACUAUGCCGACUAGGGAUCCGCGGCCGUUGUUCAUAUGACUUCGCGGGCAGCCUUCA
rnacentral:misc_RNA from 1 species